rnacentral:rRNA from 1 species
UACGAAGGGGGCAAGCGUUGUUCGGAAUUACUGGGCGUAAAGGGCGCGUAGGCGGCCGAUCAAGUCAGGCGUGAAAUUCCCGGGCUCAACCUGGGGGCUGCGCUUGAUACUGAUUGGCUUGAAUGCGGGAGAGGAUAGGGAAUUCCCAGUGUAGAGGUGAAAUUCGUAGAUAUUGGGAAGAACACCGGUGGCGAAGGCGGCUAUCUGGCCCGUAAUUGACGCUGAGGCGCGAAAGCGUGGGGAGCAAACAGG